rnacentral:ribozyme from 12 species
GAAAAAAAAAAAGAAAAAAAAAAAGAAAAAAAGGAAAAAUUUUUUUUUUAUAUAAAAUAUAUUUCCCCCUUUUUCUUC